rnacentral:rRNA from 1 species
AGUGAACGCUGGCGGUAGGCCUAACACAUGCAAGUCGAACGGCAGCACAGUAAGAUCUUGCUCUUACGGGUGGCGAGUGGCGGACGGGUGAGGCAUACAUCGGAAUCUACUUUUUCGUGGGGGACAACGUAGGGAAACUUACGCUAAUACCGCAUACGAUCUACGGGUGAAAGCAGGGGAUCUUCGGACCUUGCGCGUUUGAAUGAGCCGAUGUCGGAUUAGCUAGUUGGCGGGGUAAAGGCACACCAAGGCGACGAUCCGUAGCUGGUCUGAGAGGAUGAUCAGCCACACUGGAACUGAGACACGGUCCAGACUCCUACGGGAGGCAGCAGUGGGGAAUAUUGGACAAUGGGCGCAAGCCUGAUCCAGCCAUACCGCGUGAGUGAAGAAGGCCUUCGGGUUGUAAAGCCCCUUUGUUGGGAAAGAAAAGCAGCAGGUUAAUACCCCGCUGUUCUGACGGUACCCAAAGAAUAAGCACCGGCUAACUUCGUG